rnacentral:misc_RNA from 1 species
AACGCACAUUGCACUCCUUGGUAUUCCGGGGAGUAUGCCUGUUCGAGCGUCAUUUCACCUCUCAAGCUUCUGCUUGGUAUUGGAUAAUAUCUUUUGUUAAAGGAUAUGUCUGAAAAAUAGUGACAGUUUUCAAAAUCGAGAGACGCAGUGAAAAUAUUCGUCGUGUAGAUUUUUGUUGAACUUGUCAAAAAAACAUUUCAAUACUUUGACCUCGGAUCAGGUAGGGAUACCCGCUGAACUUAA